CCUACGGGGGGCAGCAGUGAGGAAUAUUGGUCAAUGGACGAGAGUCUGAACCAGCCAAGUAGCGUGAAGGAUGACUGCCCUAUGGGUUGUAAACUUCUUUUAUAUGGGAAUAAAAUGUUCCACGUGUGGGAUUUUGUAUGUACCAUAUGAAUAAGGAUCGGCUAACUCCGUGCCAGCAGCCGCGGUAAUACGGCGGAUCCGAGCGUUAUCCGGAUUUAUUGGGUGUAAAGGGAGCGUAGGUGGAUGGUUAAGUCAGUUGUGAAAGUUUGCGGCUCAACCGUAAAAUUGCAGUUGAAACUGGCAGUCUUGAGUAAAGGAGAGGUAGGCGGAAUUCGUGGUGUAGCGGUGAAAUGCUUAGAUAUCACGAAGAACUCCGAUUGCGAAGGCAGUUCACUGGACUGCAACUGACACUGAGGCUCGAAAGUGUGGGUAUCAAACAGGAUUAGAUACCCCAGUAGUC
rnacentral:rRNA from 1 species